ACAAACAGAACGCACACACAGCGCCUGGUCCUGUAGCACCCAUCCCCGCAAACUCUGCUUAGUGAGCCCAUCGAUACCCCCAUCCCUGCGGAUACCGACACCUCGGUCCAUCUGUCUGAGCUCCAGAGCUCUGCCUCCAGCCCCUGAGCCUUCAGAGACCAUCCAGGCAUCCCCACCCUCCCCAGCCCUGCACCGCGGACUCGUAGGCACCGCACCAGCAUCUGCAGAGCUUUCGGGAGUUUCUCCGCUCCCUGCUGCGGCUCCGGCUCCCUUUGAAAGCAAGCGGCUUCGCGUGUGACUUUGCAAUCUGAGAAUGUGAACCAGCCGGCAGGACACUGGGGGUCCGAGCACGAACGCUGCUGCAAAGGGGGCAGAAGCCUGGGUGUAUCUCUUUAAGGAGGAAGGAAGAAAAAGCUUGGUGGAUGGGGAGUGUAAUAAUGCAGCUUCAAGAGGAGAUGAUGCUCUGACAAGAUCUCAAGUGGGCUCAUCCAGAGAAGGAAGAGUGAGUAAAAAUAGGCAAGAUACAGCUGACAGCUGAAACUGCCCUCUAGGAAGCAACAAAUACAAAAACAAGAGCAGCCCCCAAAAUAACUAGGCAAGUAAUAAUUUUGCAUUUAUCUUUAUUUUUUAAAUGUUAUUAGCAAGAUUUUCACUAGUAAAAAUUCCAUCUGAGCUUUGUGUUUGAGAAAGGAAAUGUCUCCAUCAUCUCCUCUGAUGUCACCCCAGAGAGAAGAUUAGAAGAUUAACUAUAUCAGGUGAUACCAAUCCAGCAGCAGAGAAAAUAGUUUUCAUCCAAAAAGAAAAUGGAGAAGCAAUUCUAGCUAUCUUCAAGAAAUGUGAACCUUACCAGUGAUAAUUGCUGGCUCACAAAGAAAACACUUUAUGCAAAUAUAUAAAUAUACAGUAAAUAAAAUAAGAAGAUCGAAGAUUCUGUUGAGGAUUUAUCUUAAAAA